rnacentral:rRNA from 1 species
GACGAACGCUGGCGGCGUGCUUAACACAUGCAAGUCGAACGGAAAGGCCCUGCUUUUGUGGGGUGCUCGAGGGGCGAACGGGUGAGUAACACGUGAGUAACCUGCCCUUGACUUUGGGAUAACUUCAGGAAACUGGGGCUAAUACCGGAUAGGAGCUCCUGCUGCAUGGGGGGGGUUGGAAAGUUUCGGCGGUUGGGGAUGGACUCGGGGCUUAUCAGCUUGUUGGUGGGGUAGUGGCCUACCAAGGCUUUGACGGGUAGCCGGCCUGAGAGGGUGAUCAGUCACACUGGAGCUGAGACAGGGUCCAGAGUCCUGCGAGACGGAGCAGUGGGGAAUGUUGGGCAGUGGGCGAGAGUCUGAUCCAGCCGUGGGGCGUGUGUGAAGAAGGUCUUCGGAUUGGAAAGCACGUUUAGUUGGGAGGAAGGGCAGUAGGUUAUGACCUAGCUGGUUUGACGGUACCAACAGAAUAAGCACCGGCUAACUACGUG